rnacentral:rRNA from 1 species
GAGUGUUAUAAAGAUUGUUGUAAUUAAAAAUUUAAAAUUAAAUCGAAAGAAUAAUUAAGAAAAGAGAAAGUAAUAAUUAACGAAAUUCUUUCUUGGCGAUAGAGAAAUAGUACUGAAAAGGAAAUUAAAGUAAAAUUUUAUAAAAAUUUUUUUAGUAAGUGUGAGCUACUGUACCUUGUGUAUCAGGGGUAAUCAAAUUUCGUUAAUUAUAGGCAUAUAAAUCCCGAAGUAAAAAUAGCUAAUUUUAUAAGAAAGUUUUUGUGACACAAAAUUUUAAAUAUAAAGUUAAAGAUGAAAUGUUAUACGAGUUUUAUAAUAUCUGGUUUCUUAAGAAAUAAAUAUAAUUUUAAGGUUUAAAAAAACGAUUUAAAAAAAGAAGAAUAGGAGGGAUUAGCUUCUUAUUCAAUAAGAGAUUCACAACACCUGGGUAAUAGAAACUUAAUUUCUUCUAGGCUUAAAAGUAGCCAUGAUAAAAGAGUGUUUUAACUGAGAGUUUGAAGUAAAUUUAUUUGUGCCAGGUUUGAAUAGUAUUAAGAUAUUUAUAGAAAUCUUUUUUGUAAAGAUUCAAUGAUUGUAUUAGUAUAAAUUUAUUAUUCAUAUCAAUAAACUAAAAAAUUAAAAUAGUUAAAAAUUAAUAAUAUUUUUACAUUUAAAAAAAGUUAUAUUAAAGGAACUCGGCAAACCAACUUCUUUGCCUGUUUAUCAAAAACAUGUCUAUUUGAGGUAAUAUAAAUAGUCUAGCCUGCUCACUGACACAAGUAGUUAAAGAGCCGCGGUACUCUGACCGUGCAAAGGUAGCAUAAUCAUUAGUUUCUUAAUUAGAAACUCGUAUGAAUGGUUGAACAAAAGAAGAGCUGUCUCUGGUAUAAAAGUAGAAUUUAACUUUUAAGUGAAAAGGCUUAAAUUAUUCAGGGGGACGAUAAGACCCUAUAAAGCUUUAUAUUAUCAGCUAUGAUUUAAUUAAAUUAAAAAGAAAUUAAAGGUUUUAAUAAGCUAUUAUAUUUUAUUGGGGAGAUAUAAGUAUAAUUUUAUGUAACUGCUUAUAAGUCGAUACAUUGAUAAUUGGUUUAAAUUUUAAUGAUCCUUUGAAUAAAGAUUCAAGACCAAGUUACUUUAGGGAUAACAGCGUUAUUUUUUUUGAGAGUUCAUAUCGAAAAAAAAGUUUGCGACCUCGAUGUUGAAUUAAAAUUAUCUUUAUAGUGCAGCCGCUGUAAAAGAGGGUCUGUUCGACCUUUAAAUUUUUACAUGAUUUGAGUUCAGACCGGCGUAAGCCAGGUCGGUUUCUAUCUCUUGAAAAUAAUAUAAGUUAUUAUAGUACGAAAGGAUUUAGUAAUUUAAAAUUUUU